UCACAGCCCACUGUGUGACGCUUCAUCUGCGAGAGAGGAGCCAUCUACGGAAAAACGACCGGAUCAGAGGGGAAGAAAAUGCGAGUAUUGCGCGAAUAGCACCGAUUUUCGUUCUCUUGCUUUGUUAAAAAUCCACAUCAUCGAUUGUCACAAGCAGGAGAUGGUGAGUUGUUUAUUAUGUCAAGAAUUAUUCAAUAAUUACGCACCCUACGAUACGAUCCGCAAGCAUUAUUCUAGACAACAUCACGACGCUCCUUUACGCCAGCAAUGCUUGGAAAUUCACAAAAAUGAGCAAGGAUCGAAACCAGUUCGACGUCGUUAGAACUACCACCUAUUUUUAUUUAACCCUUUCGGCUACGAGACAAACUGACGAAUAAAAUUUGAAGUGCUUUAAACUGAGUAAGG